AGCCUGCCCAGUGACAAAGUUCAACGGCCGCGGUAUCCUGACCGUGCGAAGGUAGCAUAAUCACUUGUUCUUUAAAUAGGGACUCGUAUCAACGGCAUCACGAGGGUUUUACUGUCUCCUCUCUCUAAUCAGUGAACCUGAUCUCCCCGUGAAGAAGCCGGGAUGAAUCUAUAAGACGAGAAGACCCCAUGGAGCUUUAAACUCAACAACACCUUCUUAUCCACAAACCCCCAUAUCAAGAAGCCCUGUAUGUUAGUUUUAGGUUGGGGCGACCACGGAGAACAAUUAAACCUCCACAAUGAACGGUAAACACCCUAAUCCAAGAGCUACCGCUCUAAGAAUCAAUAAGUUGACACUACAUGACCCGAUACAAUCGAUCAAUGAACCAAGUUACCCUGGGGAUAACAGCGCAAUCCAUUUCAAGAGCCCUUAUCGACAAAUGGGUUUACGACCUCGAUGUUGGAUCAGGGUGUCCMAGUGGUGCAGCCGCUACUAACGGUUCGUUUGUUCAACGAUUAAAACCCUACGUGAUCUGA
rnacentral:rRNA from 1 species